CACAGCAAAAGACAUGGUUAUAGUAGUUUUCAGGAUCUUUGACUUCUUAUUUUGAUUAUUUGCAUAGUUUUCCAAUAUAGUAAAUAAUAAACAAAUUAUUAUAUAUAUGAAAUCUAGAAAAUAAAUUAUAUUUGAUGUAUUACGUUAAUAGAUUCAAAAGUAAUGUUUAUUUGUUUCAGGGAGUUCAACAUCUACAUCUUCAGCUCAUAAUACUACAUUGAAAAAUCUUAAACCCAAAAAUAAUUAUACUUGUGAUUCAACAAUAUUAUAUAAUGGAACUGACUAUUUUGAAGAAAAAAAAUUUAUUGAAACAGAUUUCGGGGUUCCAGGAAAACCUCCAUCUCUUACUCGUGGAAAUGACUC
rnacentral:lncRNA from 1 species